ACUAAGCGUACACGGUGGAUGCCCUGGCAGUCAGAGGCGAUGAAGGACGUGCUAAUCUGCGAAAAGCGUCGGUAAGGUGAUAUGAACCGUUAUAGCCGGCGAUGUCCGAAUGGGGAAACCCAGUGCAAUUCGUUGCACUAUCGUUAACUGAAUACAUAGGUUAACGAGGCGAACCGGGGGAACUGAAACAUCUAAGUACCCCGAGGAAAAGAAAUCAACCGAGAUUCCCCCAGUAGCGGCGAGCGAACGGGGAGCAGCCCAGAGUCUGAAUCAGCUUGUGUGUUAGUGGAACGGUCUGGAAAGUCCGACGGUACAGGGUGAUAGUCCCGUACACCAAAAUGCACAGGCUGUGAACUCGAAGAGUAGGGCGGGACACGUGGUAUCCUGUCUGAAUAUGGGGGGACCAUCCUCCAAGGCUAAAUACUCCUGACUGACCGAUAGUGAACCAGUACCGUGAGGGAAAGGCGAAAAGAACCCCGGCGAGGGGAGUGAAAAAGAACCUGAAACCGUGUACGUACAAGCAGUGGGAGCACCUUCGGGUGUGACUGCGUACCUUUUGUAUAAUGGGUCAGCGACUUAUAUUCUGUAGCAAGGUUAACCGUAUAGGGGAGCCGCAGGGAAACCGAGUCUUAACUGGGCGUUAAGUUGCAGGGUAUAGACCCGAAACCCGGUGAUCUAGCCAUGGGCAGGUUGAAGGUUGGGUAACACUAACUGGAGGACCGAACCGACUAAUGUUGAAAAAUUAGCGGAUGACUUGUGGCUGGGGGUGAAAGGCCAAUCAAACCGGGAGAUAGCUGGUUCUCCCCGAAAGCUAUUUAGGUAGCGCCUCGUGAACUCAUCUUCGGGGGUAGAGCACUGUUUCGGCUAGGGGGUCAUCCCGACUUACCAACCCGAUGCAAACUACGAAUACCGAAGAAUGUUAUCACGGGAGACACACGGCGGGUGCUAACGUCCGUCGUGAAGAGGGAAACAACCCAGACCGCCAGCUAAGGUCCCAAAGUCAUGGUUAAGUGGGAAACGAUGUGGGAAGGCACAGACAGCCAGGAUGUUGGCUUAGAAGCAGCCAUCAUUUAAAGAAAGCGUAAUAGCUCACUGGUCGAGUCGGCCUGCGCGGAAGAUGUAACGGGGCUAAACCAUGCACCGAAGCUGCGGCAGCGACACUAUGUGUUGUUGGGUAGGGGAGCGUUCUGUAAGCCUGCGAAGGUGNUGCUGGAGGUAUCAGAAGUGCGAAUGCUGACAUAAGUAACGAUAAAGCGGGUGAAAAGCCCGCUCGCCGGAAGACCAAGGGUUCCUGUCCAACGUUAAUCGGGGCAGGGUGAGUCGACCCCUAAGGCGAGGCCGAAAGGCGUAGUCGAUGGGAAACAGGUUAAUAUUCCUGUACUUGGUGUUACUGCGAAGGGGGGACGGAGAAGGCUAUGUUAGCCGGGCGACGGUUGUCCCGGUUUAAGCAUGUAGGCUGGUUGUCCAGGCAAAUCCGGAUAAUCAAGGCUGAGGUGUGAUGACGAGGCACUACGGUGCUGAAGUAACAAAUGCCCUGCUUCCAGGAAAAGCCUCUAAGCAUCAGGUAACAUUAAAUCGUACCCCAAACCGACACAGGUGGUCAGGUAGAGAAUACCAAGGCGCUUGAGAGAACUCGGGUGAAGGAACUAGGCAAAAUGGUGCCGUAACUUCGGGAGAAGGCACGCUGGUGUGUAGGUGAAGCCCCUGCGGGUGGAGCUGAGACCAGUCGAAGAUACCAGCUGGCUGCAACUGUUUAUUAAAAACACAGCACUGUGCAAACACGAAAGUGGACGUAUACGGUGUGACGCCUGCCCGGUGCCGGAAGGUUAAUUGAUGGGGUUAUCCGUAAGGAGAAGCUCUUGAUCGAAGCCCCGGUAAACGGCGGCCGUAACUAUAACGGUCCUAAGGUAGCGAAAUUCCUUGUCGGGUAAGUUCCGACCUGCACGAAUGGCGUAAUGAUGGCCAGGCUGUCUCCACCCGAGACUCAGUGAAAUUGAACUCGCUGUGAAGAUGCAGUGUACCCGCGGCAAGACGGAAAGACCCCGUGAACCUUUACUAUAGCUUGACACUGAACAUUGAGCCUUGAUGUGUAGGAUAGGUGGGAGGCUUUGAAGCGUGGACGCCAGUCUGCGUGGAGCCAACCUUGAAAUACCACCCUUUAAUGUUUGAUGUUCUAACGUUGGCCCCUUACCGGGGUUGCGGACAGUGUCUGGUGGGUAGUUUGACUGGGGCGGUCUCCUCCCAAAGCGUAACGGAGGAGCACGAAGGUUAGCUAAUCCUGGUCGGACAUCAGGAGGUUAGUGCAAUGGCAUAAGCUAGCUUGACUGCGAGCGUGACGGCGCGAGCAGGUGCGAAAGCAGGUCAUAGUGAUCCGGUGGUUCUGAAUGGAAGGGCCAUCGCUCAACGGAUAAAAGGUACUCCGGGGAUAACAGGCUGAUACCGCCCAAGAGUUCAUAUCGACGGCGGUGUUUGGCACCUCGAUGUCGGCUCAUCACAUCCUGGGGCUGAAGUAGGUCCCAAGGGUAUGGCUGUUCGCCAUUUAAAGUGGUACGCGAGCUGGGUUUAGAACGUCGUGAGACAGUUCGGUCCCUAUCUGCCGUGGGCGCUGGAGAAUUGAGGGGGGCUGCUCCUAGUACGAGAGGACCGGAGUGGACGCAUCACUGGUGUUCGGGUUGUCAUGCCAAUGGCACUGCCCGGUAGCUAAAUGCGGAAGAGAUAAGUGCUGAAAGCAUCUAAGCACGAAACUUGCCCCGAGAUGAGUUCUCCCUGAGACUUUAAGUCUCCUGAAGGAACGUUAAAGACGAUGACGUUGAUAGGCCGGGUGUGUAAGCGCAGCGAUGCGUUGAGCUAACCGGUACUAAUGAACCGUGAGGCUUAACC
rnacentral:rRNA from 1 species